CCUACGGGAGGCAGCAGUGAGGAAUAUUGGACAAUGGAGGAGACUCUGAUCCAGCCAUGCCGCGUGCAGGAAGACUGCCCUAUGGGUUGUAAACUGCUUUUAUACAGGAAGAAACACUAGUACGUGUACUAGCUUGACGGUACUGUAAGAAUAAGGACCGGCUAACUCCGUGCCAGCAGCCGCGGUAAUACGGAGGGUCCGAGCGUUAUCCGGAAUCAUUGGGUUUAAAGGGUCCGCAGGCGGUCGAUUAAGUCAGAGGUGAAAUCCCAUAGCUUAACUAUGGAACUGCCUUUGAUACUGGUUGACUUGAGUCAUAUGGAAGUAGAUAGAAUGUGUAGUGUAGCGGUGAAAUGCAUAGAUAUUACACAGAAUACCGAUUGCGAAGGCAGUCUACUACGUAUGUACCGACGCUCAUGGACGAAAGCGUGGGGAGCGAACAGGAUUAGAUACCCUGGUAGUCCACGCCGUAAACGAUGGACACUAGUUGUUGGGAUUUAUCUCAGUGACUAAGCGAAAGUGAUAAGUGUCCCACCUGGGGAGUACGAUCGCAAGAUUGAAACUCAAAGGAAUUGACGG
rnacentral:rRNA from 1 species